UGGGGAAUUUUGCACAAUGGGCGCAAGCCUGAUGCAGCCAUGCCGCGUGGGUGAAGAAGGCCCUAGGGUUGUAAAUCCCUUUCAGCGGGGAAGAUAAUGACGGUACCCGCAGAAGAAGCCCCGGCUAACUCCGUGCCAGCAGCCGCGGUAAUACGGAGGGGGUUAGCGUUGUUCGGAAUUACUGGGCGUAAAGCGCACGUAGGCGGAUCGGAAAGUUGGGGGUGAAAUCCCGGGGCUCAACCCCGGAACUGCCUCCAAAACUAUCGGUCUAGAGUUCGAGAGAGGUGAGUGGAAUUCCGAGUGUAGAGGUGAAAUUCGUAGAUAUUCGGAGGAACACCAGUGGCGAAGGCGGCUCACUGGCUCGAUACUGACGCUGAGGUGCGAAAGUGUGGGGAGCAAACAGGAUUAGAUACCCCCGUAGUCC
rnacentral:rRNA from 1 species